CCUACGGGUGGCUGCAGUGGGGAAUAUUGGACAAUGGGCGAAAGCCUGAUCCAGCCAUGCCGCGUGUGUGAAGAAGGCCUUCGGGUUGUAAAGCACUUUCAGUGGGGAAGAAAGCCUUGGGGCUAAUACCCUCGAGGAAGGACAUCACCCACAGAAGAAGCACCGGCUAACUCCGUGCCAGCAGCCGCGGUAAUACGGAGGGUACGAGCGUUAAUCGGAAUUACUGGGCGUAAAGCGCGCGUAGGCGGUCUGAUAAGCCGGUUGUGAAAGCCCCGGGCUCAACCUGGGAACGGCAUCCGGAACUGUCAGGCUAGAGUGCAGGAGAGGAAGGUAGAAUUCCCGGUGUAGCGGUGAAAUGCGUAGAGAUCGGGAGGAAUACCAGUGGCGAAGGCGGCCUUCUGGACUGACACUGACGCUGAGGUGCGAAAGCGUGGGUAGCAAACAGGAUUAGAUACCCGGGUAGUC
rnacentral:rRNA from 1 species